CUACGGGUCGCUCCAGUGGGGAAUAUUGCACAAUGGACGAGAGUCUGAUGCAGCAACGCCGCGUGGAGGAUGACACAUUUCGGUGCGUAAACUCCUUUUAUAUAGGAAGAUAAUGACGGUACUAUAUGAAUAAGCACCGGCUAACUCCGUGCCAGCAGCCGCGGUAAUACGGAGGGUGCAAGCGUUACUCGGAAUCACUGGGCGUAAAGAGCGUGUAGGCGGGUAGUUAAGUCAGAAGUGAAAUCCAAUAGCUCAACUAUUGAACUGCUUUUGAAACUGAUUACCUAGAAUAUGGGAGAGGUAGAUGGAAUUUCUGGUGUAGGGGUAAAAUCCGUAGAGAUCAGAAGGAAUACCGAUUGCGAAGGCGAUCUACUGGAACAUUAUUGACGCUGAGACGCGAAAGCGUGGGGAGCAAACAGGAUUAGAUACCCGGGUAGUC
rnacentral:rRNA from 1 species